rnacentral:lncRNA from 1 species
AUUCACAGUCAAGUCAUGUGGAACUACACAACUUCCUUUUUGUGCAUUGGAGCUGGAAAUCUCGUUGAGUUUGGGAGGCCUUACUUCUGCAUAUUUGAAUCUGCUGUAGUGGUCUGAUCAUUCUACCAAGGCCAUGACUGUGAAGAGCACUGUGGGUGAUGGCUGGUGGCUCACCGGAGCCGGCUUGUGCACGGCGCCCGAAGCCAAAGCUGCAGUUACCAUCCUCAAAUACAAAAGUAAUUGAUACUCAGCAAUGAAAGCUGCAUGUGCAUGUAGGGGAGAGAAGGAGGUUUCACCAGACUGACAAAUGGAGUCAUGGUUCUGGGAAGGAGCAGGGUGUUGGGUGCACAUUUGUCACCUGGGAAUACUACCAGCAAGCCUCAUAUUUUUUCUGCAAUAAAUGCUGGAAAGGAAAAAGAAAUGCUGAAAAUGAUGAAGUAAUUCCAAUUCUGCUGAUAGAGACCUGGAAAUGCACUAGGGAAAAAUGACAAGAGUGUAACACACUGCUGCUGAUUAUGUCAUAAUGAUUAUUUUAUGCAGUUUGAAGAAGACUCACUGUUCUAAAGAACCAGCAUCCAUUUCCAGGAAAGAGCAGGGAUUCUCCAUCCAUACCUCCAUGGGAUGAACCACAUUGAAAAUAAUGAUUUCCUUCUAAUAGCUUACUCUACAUUAUAUAAAGAAUUCCUUGGGAUUCUAAAAAAACCCUAAUAAUAUAGUAAUAAUAACAACAGAGGUUUGUUUUUGCUAUUUGUAGUCUAAUAUUCAGAUUGUGAGCAGCUGUUUUGGAAGGCAAGAUGAGUGAAUAGAUGUGAAGUCGUCUUAGAAAUGUCCAGGCUUCCAAAAGAAAUUUCACUUUUAAAAGAAAAUAGCCUAAUGUGAACCACAUUAGAAUCAGCACAUCUAAUCCUACGGAGAAAAAGUGACCAUGGCUGUCUACACAUAUAGGCAGGUCAUUCAAGCUCAUUCAAAAAUUCCACUUUCACUGGUGGUCUGUCUGUGUCCACAUGGUGACAAAUGGCCCCGGCAGGGUUUUUGAGGUGUUGGCACCACCAGUGAGUGCCAGAUGGAAUGUGGUGAAAGUUCUGAUUUGUACCUUUCAGACUAAAGGUACUUUCCAGAAUGGACGGGUCCUUCUGGCUGCCUUUUGUAAGUGCAGCCACAGGUAUUCUGUUGAAGCCUGUGGGUGAGAAAGACAUAAACAGGUGCUAUAAAUUUGUCAGACCAGGAAGCCACAGGCCGUUUAGUAAAUGGUAAACCCAAUGGCCCAAAAGAACAAAGGGGUCUCUUUUCAUCAGAAUGAUCAGGCUCAUUCAACAAAUAUUUAUUGAGCACCCACUUUCUGCCAGAUGGAAGAGCCACUGACAAGGCCUCUUAUUUAAAGAGUGCCUGAAGUGAGGAAGCAAACCCCCAAAUCAUCUGGGAUGGUAUGAACUGAACUCUGGACCGCAACAUGAUGGAAAGGAGGAGCUGGGGUCCCAAGGGCAGUCCAGACAACCUGAACCUGUGACACUCACCCUGCCCACACACUCUCAGAGCUGCAGCUUUCACGGGGAUGUCCUUGCAACUGGAGGUGCCAUAUGAUACAGUUCUGCCCAAAGACAAGAAAGUGAAUGUCUGUUGAGGGCUUCCUAUAAGGCCAAUACAUACAGGUGUUCCCAACAACAGAUGGAGUCUUGCUCUGUUGCCCAGGCUGGAGUGCAGUGGCAUGAUCUUGGUUCACCGCAACUUCUGCUUCCCAGAUUCAAGCGAUUCUUCUGCCUCAGCCUCCUGAGUAGGUGGGAUUACAGGCACCUGCCACUAUGCCUGGCUAAUUUUUUUGUAUUUUUAGUAGAAAUGGGGUUUCACCAUGUUACCCAGUCUUGGGUAUGUCUUUAUUAGCAGCAUGAGAACAGAUUAAUACUCCCUUGUUCCCAUACAUACACAACCUCCCCCAUUAUAGACAUCCUGCACCACAGUGGUACAUGUUCCAAUCAAUAAACCUACAUUGACACAUCAUUAUCACCCAAAUUCCAUAGUUUAUGUUAGAUUUCACUUGUGAUGUUGUACAUUCUACUGCUUUGGACAAAUGUAUAAUGGCAUGUAUCCAUCAUUGCAAGACCAUAGACAGUAGUAGUGUUUUUUUCUUUGUUUGUGUUUGAGAUGGAGUCUUGCUCUGUCACCCAGGCUGGAGUGCAGUGGUGCGAUCUCGGCUCACUGCAAGCUCCGCCUCCUGGGUUCAUGCCAUUCUCCUGUCUCAGCCUCCCAAGUAGCUGGGACUACAGGUGCCUGCCACCACACCUGGCUAACUUUUUGUAUUUUUAGUAGAGACGGGGUUUCAGCAUGUUAGCCAGGGUGGUCUCGAACUCCUGACCUCAUGAUCCAGCCGGCUUGGCCUCCCAAAGUGCUCGGAUUACAGGCGUGAGCCACCGAGCUGACCAGCAAUUGUAUUUGUACUCACUCAAACCCAUUUCCAAUUAUAUGCAAAUUAAGGUGCAGGUUAAUGCAAAUUGAGGGCAAAGGUUACUUAGAACUUUCUAGGAAAGGGGCGGUAACUUCUAGGUCGUUGCCACAAAAAUGAGCAGUAAGUUUCAGCUCAUUGCCAUGAUGCUGGUGGGAGUGUCUUAUGCUAAUGAGCAAUGAGGUAGCUAGGGAUCUCUUUUGUCAGUAUCUGCUCAUUUCCUCCAGUUUCUUUGCUUUAUCGUGUCUGGACUAGAUCCUGUUUUUGUUAGCAGGGUAGUGACAGAAAACAAGUCCCGCCAGUCUUGUACCGGUUUCACUGCCCUAAAAAUCCUCUAUGCUCUACCUAUUCAUCCCUUCCUCCUUAAUCUCUGGCAAUCAUUGACCCUUGUACUGUCUCCAUAGUUUUGCCUUUUUCAGAAUGUCAGAUAGUUUGAAUAAUAUAGUAUGUAACCUUUUCCUUGGCUUCUUUCACUUAGUAAUAUGAAUUCAAGUUUCUUCCCUGUCUUUUUAUGGCUUGAUAGCUUAUUUUUUUUUCUAGUAGUGAAUAAUGAUAAUAAAUAUUCUAUUGUCUGGAUAUAAUACAGUUUUUUUCAUGCAUUGGCUUACUGAAAGACCUUUUGGUUGCUUCCGUGUUUUGACAAUUAUGAAU